CAUCUACUCCCUCCAUUCCAAAUUACUCGUCGCAGAAAUGGAUGUAUCUAGAACUAAAAUACAUCUAGAUACAUCCAUUUCUGCGACAAGUAAUUCGGAACGGAGGGAGUACACA
rfam:Triticum aestivum genome assembly, contig: Triticum_aestivum_CS42_TGACv1_scaffold_002436_1AL